AGUCUCUUCCACAACUUCAACUACUCAGUCUAUUUGCUGGACUCCAACUAUACUGACCCCCUCAAGCUCUUUUAAAUUUUUACUAACUUGAGGCACACAACCAGCAACAACCAGGGGUUUUUUUGGCACUUUUACCCUUUGUUAACAGAGUGUCCAUGGCAGACUGACUUGUAUAUUUUACAGUGUUGACCAGCCACAAGUCAGCAUCCUCAGGAAUGUCAGUUAAUGCAUACCCUAAUGAUGAAAGCUGACCAGCCAUUUAUUCACUGUCACUCUGCGACAAUUGCCGAAUUAAUUGAAAAAAAAAACUGAAAAUAAGUACACAUUAUCAAUAUCUGAUUAAGAAUAAUGCUUUCGAGAUCCCCUUGACGUGGCCAAGCUCAAUAAAACAUAAUGUUGGGAUAAAUAGGUAACGGUUAGUUGCUAAACAUUUGAUUGCUUUGUGACUCAGUUGACACAUAUUACAACUUCGAAUCAUAACUAUUUAUUGUAGCUGAACACAGCAAUAUGUAAUAGGAUUCCUCAAGAAGCAUAUGUAACAGACAUUACGGCUGCUAUGUUACGUAAAAGCUUUUCCAUAAAGGCCUCACCCAAGAAUUUUUUUAAAAAAGGUAUAACUUUGCUCCACUCCUUUAUUUACAAUUAAAAAUUCAGAAGAAUUGCAACUUCAAAGAUCCAACAUGGCCACAAAAGUUUUCCACAAGAUAAAAGCUAAAAGAAAGAUUAAAAAUGAUGUAAUUUUAACAAAUUUUUGAGAGAAAAUCCAAAGGCGACUUGAAUGUAACCUUGUUUACAUUUUAAACACUUCAGCUCACUCAGCAGGAUAGGGGAGGAUGGGGGAUUCAAAACCUUCUAAUGGAGAUCCUAAACCUCUAACAUUAGGAUUUCCCUUAGGUGGUGGUGGUGGUGGUGUUAGU
rnacentral:misc_RNA from 1 species